GUGUGUGUGCUGUGCUGUGCUGUGCCUGGUACCCCGUGGGUUUUGCGCACGGGAGAGAAGGAAAUGGCUGUGCUUUUAUCUGCUCGUUUGAAGUGCCAUAGCAUCCCAGCCUACCCCGCUGAGACAACAUCACAGACCCACAGAGACAGACAGACACAGGCCUCUUUUCUUUGGCCGAACCCACGACAGCACAAACAUCUCUCUCUAGUUGGAGGAUAUUAGACUUUGUGGCAUAUUAAUAAGAGCAGACUUAUCCUCAGCAGACUACUUUAGGUUCGGGCAUGGCAGUACAUGUGACUGUAAUUAUGUGUAAACAAAGAGAGAUCUUUGCCAAUUUCAUAGUUGAUUAGAUUUUACUAUGUGGUAAAACCAGUGCCCCUUGUAUCUGAUCUGGGAUCAGUGUUUGGACAUUAUCUGUAAAUCUUUAUACUGUAGGCUAUAGAAGCCGCGUUGCUAAUUCAAAGUAUUAUAGUGUGUGCAGUAUCAGUAAACUGGCCAUUAGCCGCUCUGGGCUGCUUGUGGUUCUGUGUCGUUUUUAUCUGAUGAACUGCUGUGGCCGGGUGGUUUGGACGGGAGUGAUUGGUCGGAUGACUGAUGGAGCCAGCCAGUGCCAAGACUUCUGGGGUCAUUUGGCUGAGAGGCGAGAGCGAAGGAGAAGGAAGGAGUGAAGGAGCAGGCUGGGGAGGUGGAGGGGAGGUGCAGAGGGGGUGGUAAGUCCAGGCGUUCCACCCAAGGAUGAAGCUCCAGUGCCAGGCAGUGAGAGAUUGAGCCUCCCCCUCCCAGGUCCUGCCAUGGGCGGCUGCCCUGCUAACCCCCACCUGCCCUCCCCCACAUCCAUUAACACCAGGGCUGUGAAGUCUCUCCAGCACUGCACAUCCAGAUGGUGAUGGAUCGACCCGACCCAACCACAGGAAGGGCAUACUAGGCCGGGGCUCUUUGAAGGCUGGCCAAGCGCUGGAUGCCAGAGGUGCUGAUUCUUUCCAGUUGCCAUGCCAGUGCUGGCUUCUCCACCUCAGAGUGGCGAGAGAACAGGACAGAACCGGGACGGAACAUGCUGUUCUCCAUCCACUGCAUUAUGACACUAAGAACCCUAUCCCACAGGUCCAGAACUACU